rnacentral:lncRNA from 1 species
UGGCAAUAUCAGGUCAUCCAAUGUACUUCUCACCCAUGACAACAGUGGAUGCAUCUCAGAUGUUGGGCUUACUCCUCUAAUGGGCUCUCCUACAAUCCCAUCUAGGAGUGCAGGAUAUAGAGCACCUGAGGUGAUUGAGACAAGGCUUACUCCUCUAAUGGGCUCUCCUACAAUUCCAUCUAGGAGUGCAGGAUAUAGAGCACCUGAGGUGAUUGAGACAAGGAAAUGUACUCAGAAAUCCGAUGUUUACAGCUUUGGCGUUCUGCUUCUUGAACUCCUUACUGGCAAAGCACCAGUGCAGCCACCUGGUCAUGAUGAGGUGGUAGAUUUACCGAGAUGGGU